GCAAAUUAGGGAAGCAAACUACUCUUCUUCCAAUGAUGUUAUUUCUUUUCUGAUGAAGAUGUAAGCAGACUCCAAACUCCUCAUAAUGAUGUAUUAUUUUUCAAUAACAAUAGCAAAUUAUAAUGUAAAAAAGAAUUUCAUAAAUAAUGAAAGCUCUGCUGAUAUUUUAUUUUAUGAUGCUUUUCAAAGAAUAAAGUUGCCCAAAGAAUGACUCAAGCAGCACCGUGCA
rnacentral:lncRNA from 1 species